rnacentral:rRNA from 1 species
CCUACGGGUGGCAGCAGUGGGGAAUAUUGCACAAUGGGGGAAACCCUGAUGCAGCGACGCCGCGUGAGUGAAGCAGUAAUUCGUUACGUAAAGCUCUAUCAGCAGGGAAGAAACACUGACCUUACGGUCAGCAGACGGUACCUGAGUAAGAAGCCCCGGCUAACUACGUGCAAGCAGCCGCGGUAAUACGUAGGGGGCAAGCGUUAUCCGGCUUUACUGGGUGUAAAGGGGGCGUAGACGGUGCGCCAAGUCUGGAGGGAAAUGCCGCAGCUUAACUGCGGAACUGCUUUGGAAACUGGCGAACUAGAGUGCGGGAGGGGUAAGCGGAAUUCCUAGUGUAGCGGUGAAAUGCGUAGAUAUUAGGAGGGACACCGGUGGCGAGGGCGGCUUACUUGACCGUAACUGACGUUGAGGCUCGAAAGCGUGGGGAGCCAACAGGAUUAGAUACCCUUGUAGUC